rnacentral:rRNA from 1 species
AUACGGAGGGUGCAAGCGUUGUUCGGAAUCACUGGGCGUAAAGGGCGCGCAGGCGGUUUUACAAGUCAGAUGUGAAAGCCCACGGCUCAACCGUGGAAGCGCAUUUGAAACUGUAAGACUUGAGUAUCAGAGGGGAAGGUGGAAUUCCCGGUGUAGAGGUGAAAUUCGUAGAUAUCGGGAGGAAUACCGGUGGCGAAGGCGACUUUCUGGCUGAAUACUGACGCUGAGGCGCGAAAGCGUGGGGAGCAAACAGGAUUAGAAACCCUGGUAGUCC